rnacentral:rRNA from 1 species
GAUGAACGCUAGCGGCAGGCUUAAUACAUGCAAGUCGAGGGACAGCACAGGUAGCAAUACUGGGUGGUAACCGGCAAACGGGUGCGGAACACGUACACAACCUUCCUUUAAGUGGGGGAUAGCCCAGAGAAAUUUGGAUUAAUACCCCGUAAUAUAGUUGAAUGGCAUCAUUUGAUUAUUAUAGCUACGGCGCUUAAUGAUGGGUGUGCGGCUGAUUAGAUAGUUGGCGGGGUAACGGCCCACCAAGUCUACGAUCAGUAGCUGAUGUGAGAGCAUGAUCAGCCACACGGGCACUGAGACACGGGCCCGACUCCUACGGGAGGCAGCAGUAAGGAAUAUUGGUCAAUGGACGCAAGUCUGAACCAGCCAUGCCGCGUGAAGGAUUAAGGUCCUCUGGAUUGUAAACUUCUUUUAUUUGGGACGAAAAAGGGUCUUUCUAGGUCAACUGACGGUACCAGAUGAAUAAGCACCGGCUAACUCCGUGCCAGCAGCCGCCGUAA